GGGGGCCCGCAAGCGGUGGAGCAUGUGGUUCAAUUCGACGCAACGCGAAGAACCUUACCUGGGCUCGAAGCGCAGUGGACCGGGGUAGAAAUAUCCCUUCCCCUUAAAAGGCUGCUGCGGAGGUGCUGCAUGGCUGUCGUCAGCUCGUGUCGUGAGAUGUUGGGUUAAGUCCCGCAACGAGCGCAACCCUUAUCCCUAGUUGCCAUCGGGUCAAGCCGGGCACUCUAGUGAAACUGCCUCAGAUAAUGAGGAGGAAGGGGGGGAUGACGUCAAGUCCUCAUGGCCUUUAUGUCCAGGGCUACACACGUGCUACAAUGGUCGGUACAAACCGUCGCAAACCCGUGAGGGGGAGCUAAUCGGAAAAAGCCGGCCUCAGUUCGGAUUGGAGUCUGCAACUCGACUCCAUGAAGCUGGAAUCGCUAGUAAUCGCGGAUCAGAACGCCGCGGUGAAUACGUUCCCGGGCCUUGUACACACC
rnacentral:rRNA from 1 species